AUGUCUCCGUUCCAAACACACUUCUACAGUGAUAACAUGAAAUAUAUAAUAGAUGAUGUUCUCUUCUCAAUCUCUGCUGCCUCUGAAAUAGCUGACCUUAGUAACAUCAUGAAUAAAUUGCUGAAGGACAAAAAUGAGUUCCACAAACAUGUGGAGUUUGAUUUCAAACUGGAGGGCCAGUUUCUGCUAAUUUCCUUGGUCAAACACAUGGACCUUGAGAUCAUCUCAUCAUAAGAGGUUGUGGAACUAGAAUGUGGAGAAGUACACUGUCCACCAGCCAGAGCAAUGCAUAUUCUAUGAUGACUGCAUCAGUUCAAUUAAAGGGGCAGAGGAAUGUACCUUGACUGGUUCUUAUGAUGAGACUUCUGGGUUCUGAUGCUUGGAAGAAAAGUUCGUAAUGAUGAUUGUGAAAUAUACAGAUGCUGUGAAAAAUGUGGCCUGGGUGAAAAAAGACAGUUUGUCUUGUUUUUACUGAAUUCUUCCAUUGAUCAGAGUACUGUCUUACCGGAGUAGAAUUUAAUGAGAAACAGGGAAAGCCCUACACUGCUGCAGAGAUCAUACUGGAAGUGUAGAUUAUAUAGCUGUUGAUAGCUCAGAAACUAUAUUUUGCAGUGGCUGAUGAGAUAAAAUGUUAAAUAUCUACUCUACAGUCUCUAUAGAUAAAGAAGAUGAAAUGGGGGAAUCCACAAAUUGAGAAAGAAACAGAAAACAGAGCAAUUGGAACUAACGAGGACUCCCAUGCUGACCCUCUCUGACCACAAGGAAGCAAUUUCCUUGGUUCUGUGGUCAAAUGUUGAAGGAACCUGCAGUGCAUCUUGGGACCACACAAUUAGAGUGUGGCAUGUUGAGUUCAGCAGUCUUAACUCAGCUUUGUCAGGAAAUAAAGUAUUGUAUUUUCUAUUUUCUACUCUGUAAAUGUUUAGCAUCUGGAAGCACAGACAUGCAUAUAAGACUGGGAUCCCCAAACCAAAGAUAGUUUUUUGCUGUCUUUUUCCCAACUUCACAUACAGGCCGGGUGACAUCAGUAAAAUGGUCUUCUAUUCAUGAACAGCAGCUGAUUUCAUUAUAUUUAGGUGACACUGUCAAGCUGCAGAAUACAAGAAGUUUUAAGGCUCCAUUCUGUGAUCUAGCUGCUCAUGAAGACAAAAUUCUGAGUGUAGACUGGACAAACACAGGGAUACUUCUCAAUGGAAGAUCAGACAAUGAAUUAUAUUCCUACAUAUAUUCACCUACCACUUCCCAUGUGGGGCAUGA
rnacentral:lncRNA from 1 species